CCUGGGGAACUUCUCCACAUCUCUUGUAGAUUUUUACACAGACGGUUGCAAAAUAGAAGGGCAAAUUCCAAAUGAAGUUGGGUACUUAAGCAGCUUAGUAGACCUUGAUCUUUCUGGAAAUAACUUGGCUGGAUUGAUUCCCACAUCAUUUGGCAACUUGACAAACCUUCAGCGUUUCUACUUGAGUAACAACAAAUUUACAGGAUUUAUUGGAGAUAAUCUUUGUAAAUUUCAGCGACUGGGUGCUAUUUACUUGGGUCAAAAUCAACUUUCAGGAUCUCUUCCGAAUUGUUUGAAUCAAAGUGUGAUUUCACAAACUAAAUGUCUUUGAAAGGUUCACUGCUUUUCUUUGGUUUUUGUAUUUCUUUCGUCACUUUUUUCAUAUACAGAGGAAGAAUGAACUUCAAAUAUAUUGGGGAAGGGAAACAGUUUAUGUUUGUAACUGUUCUCCCAAGUUUCAAAAAUGCAACAUUAUCUCUUUCUUUUCAACUUUUUUCCAGAUAAUCUAAAAACAAAAAUCGGGUCAAGUCAGGUCGGUCCAGCGACCCAUAACCCAUAAACCAACAAAAACGUUCAGCCAUUUUGAAGUAACCACUCCAGAAAUUGUACACUUACAUAUUGAGCAUCUUUACACUUGAUUAUAAAAAUAUUGGACCACUCCUUUCCAAGUCAAACACUAACUAUACUUCUUUCUUGGUCUACCACUUAAAAGUUUUUUUCCAAGACACACGCUAACUAUAUGUCAUCUAACAUUUAAUGACAUCGGCGGAUUUCGGAUUAGAAUUUUAUGGGUUUAAUCUUUGAAGGUUUUAGUAUUGAACCUAUUGUAAUUGUAAAACUAUGAGUUUAAACUUAUUCUUUGGUGCAAUUUAAUAAAGUUUUAUAGAUAAAUUUAUCUUUGCAUCAAAAAUACUGGAUUCAAAUGAACACGAUAUUUCUGUGAUGCAUCCUCCACUAAUAAUGGAAAUCAUUGUUUUGCUUGUCAUGGCCGAGAAUUUUAAUGGAGCUGUGCACAAAUAACUUUUGCUAAAGUUGUGGCUAUUAACUAACUCACCUCAUCACAUGCUCUACAUAACUGAAAAAUUCAAUGGACAUCCCUUUCCUAUUUAAAGUUUCAAAACAACAAUGUUAUUGGCCAUAACAAGUUCCUUCUAAUUUAUGCAAGCAUGGACAAAGCAUUCGCCUUUUUACUCUUAACAUUCGUGCUACUUCACUAUGUUAUGGCUAGUUCGGCCGCGACAAAAACCAACAUUUCCACCGAUCAAUUGACUCUUUUUUCUUUGAAAUCCCAAAUCAUUUCAGACCCCUUUCACUUAUUGGAUGAAAGUUGGUCCCCAGCUACUUUUGUUUGUCAUUGGGUCGGAAUCACUUGUAGCUCUCGUCAUCAGAGAGUGAAAUCUUUAAAUCUUUCAAACAUGGCUCUUACAGGCAUAAUUCCUCGGGAAUUUGGAAACCUGACAUUUCUUGUUUCUCUUGACUUGGGAAACAACAAUUUCAAGGGAAAUUUACCUCAAGAAAUGGCACGCUUGCAUCGGCUUAAGUUUCUUGAUUUAAGUUUCAACAGCUUCAGAGGGGAUGUUCCUUAUUGGCUUGGGUUUUUACACCAACUUCAAUUUCUAAGUCUUGGAAAUAAUAGUUUCACUGGUUCCAUUCCUGCAUCAUUUUCUAAUAUUUCCACACUCGAGACUUUGAAUCUGAAUUUCAAUUUCAUAGAGGGCCAAAUACCAAAAGUGAUUGGAAGUCUUAUAAACCUUAGAGAACUAAACUUGAUGGGUAACAAGCUCAUAGGGUUUAUUCCUCCGUCUAUCUUUAAUGCCUCGAGGUUGGAGACUUUAGAAAUAUCUGGCAAUUCACUUGAAGGGAACAUUCCAGAAGGGAUCGGCAAUCUUCACAACAUGAACUGGUUGUCCAUACAAGAUAAUCACCUUGAGGGUUCUAUACCAUUCUCCAUUUUCAAUAUUUCUAGAAUCGAAUUCAUUGCAUUUACAAACAAUUACUUAUCUGGAGAUCUUCCCAAUGGUUUAUGCAAUCGUCUUCCAAGACUUAAAGGUCUUUAUCUAUCCAAAAACAAGAUUCAUGGUCAUAUACCUACAAGCUUAUCAAAUUGUUCACAACUUCAACUGUUGUCUUUAUCAUAUAAUGAUUUUGAUGGACCAAUACAUAGUGAAAUUGGAAGAUUAACUAAUCUGCAGUUCUUGGUUCUCGGAUUUAACCAUUUAACUGGUAUGUUUGAUCUUAUGAAUGCUAGUACUAUUCUAUCAAAUUACUUCAGAAUUUUUUUUGAUUACAUAUUAACUGCAGGGAUAAUUCCAAAAGAAAUUGGAAAUCUUGUUAAUUUGGCGGAGUUAUGGGUGGAGAGCAACCAGCUUAACGGCUCUGUCCCAAUCUCCAUGUUCAAUAUCUCAUCGCUGCAAAUUUUGUCACUUUGGAGAAACAAUCUUAGUGGAUUCGUACCACGGGAGAUUGGCAACUUAACCAAGAUGCAACUUUUAUAUCUUAGCGAAAAUAGGCUUACUGGUACGUACGUAUUCAAAGUGAUUGCAAAGAAUACAACUUAUAUUAGAUUGAACUGACUAGUUAAUCCUUCUUUCGAUAAGUAUUUGCAGGUGAAAUACCCAAAGAGAUAAACAAUCUCACUGAGUUGGAGGAACUUACUCUUAGUUAUAAUAGAUUUAGUGGUACACUUGAUAUGGAAAUCUUCAACAUAUCAGGUUUGAGAAUAAUUUCACUUUCAACCAACAAUCUAUCUGGAAGCCUACCACCAAACAUAGGUUCUAUCUUACCAAACAUUGAAAAACUUUAUCUGCAUACCUUAACUAAUCUUGUUGGGACUAUUCCUAAUUACAUCUCCAACUGUUCAAAACUUACUGAUCUAGAGCUUUCAGACAACAAACUCAGUGGCUUGAUUCCCAAUUCUCUUGGAUAUUUGACUCAUCUACAGGUCCUACAAUUGAGCAGAAACAAUUUAACCAGUGACUCCUCGUUAAGCUUCUUCACUUCCUUAACCAAUUGCAGAAAUUUAACAUCUCUUGAUAUAUCUUCGAACCCCCUAAAGGGCAUGCUUCCAGCCUCCCUGGGGAACUUCUCCACAUCUCUUGUAGAUUUUUACACAGACGGUUGCAAAAUAGAAGGGCAAAUUCCAAAUGAAGUUGGGUACUUAAGCAGCUUAGUAGACCUUGAUCUUUCUGGAAAUAACUUGGCUGGAUUGAUUCCCACAUCAUUUGGCAACUUGACAAACCUUCAGCGUUUCUACUUGAGUAACAACAAAUUUACAGGAUUUAUUGGAGAUAAUCUUUGUAAAUUUCAGCGACUGGGUGCUAUUUACUUGGGUCAAAAUCAACUUUCAGGAUCUCUUCCGAAUUGUUUAGG
rnacentral:lncRNA from 1 species